rnacentral:rRNA from 1 species
UGGGGAAUCUUGCACAAUGGGGCAACCUGAUGCAGCGACGCCGCGUGAGUGAUGAAGCCCUUCGGGUGUAAAGCUCUUUCGACAGGGACGAUAAUGACGGUACCUGGAGAAGCAGCUGCGGCUAACUACGUGCCAGCAGCCGCGGUAAUACGUAGGCAGCAAGCGUUGUUCGGAGUUACUGGGCGUAAAGGGUGCGUAGGCGGCCGUGUAAGUGUGGUGUGAAAUCUCCCGGCUUAACUGGGAGGGUGCGCUACAGACUGCAUGGCUAGAGUGUGGGAGAGGAAAGUGGAAUUCCUGGUGUAGCGGUGAAAUGCGUAGAUAUCAGGAGGAACACCGGUGGUUGUUAAACGGCUUUCUGGACCAUAACUGACGCUGAUGCACGAAAAGCGUGGGUAGCAAACA